rnacentral:lncRNA from 1 species
AACUUACAUUGAUCAAAGGGCAGAGAAUGUACAGAUAUAAGUAUAUGUAAGAUAUCAAUCAAUCGACAUUUGUUAAGUGACUACUAUGUGCCAGACACUGUGCUGAGGGCUGUGGAUACAAAAAGAGGCAAAAGAGAGUCAUUGCCCUCAAGGAGCUUGAAACAAAAAUAUAUAUAAAAUAUAUAUAAAAGCCAGGUCCAUAUAGGAUAAAUAGGUAAUAAUUAACACAGGGAAGGUACUAGAAUUUAGAGGGAUUGGGCAAAGCUUCUGGUAAAAGGUGGGAUUUUAGUUGGAAUUUAAAAGAUAGAAUAUAGAGUAAUUUGGGGGACUUCAGUGUUUGGGGGAGAUCAGAUAGGAGGGGAUGUCUAGAGAAGGUAGGGCUGAUUUUGAAGGAGACUGAGACUUCUCAGACACAAAUUGAGCAGAGUCAAUUAUAGGUUUGCUUUUUGUUCAACUGCAUAUUUUUAUUUUAGUGAGUUGUUUUCCCUCUUGCAUUUAUGGGACUUUCUUUGAGCUCACGGGCCAGAGGGCAGCUUUUCUUUUGAUUUGUGGUAAUUUUGUUUCUUGCUUUUUUUGUUGGGACAGAAGAAAAAGAGAAGAAAGAAAAUUCUUUAUACUCGGAAGCUAGUAAAUGUGUAGUUGAUGACCUUUGAUGAUUUUAACUCAAGUAAAAUCUUUCAAAGAGCUUUCUGAAGCUUUUUAAAGUUGAAAGUUUUGUAUUGGUUCCUUUUAGGUGGAGAAUUCAGAUCUCUUGGAACACCAUUUCUGCCGUUGGUAAAUUCAGCUGGUUAUUUGGAGACAGUCCCUGGCUAAUGCAGCUUCUGCAGGAAUAUUCCUUUCUUCCUCGCUGCCCUAAAAUGGCUAGGAGAAAAGUAGCAGCAGCCUGAGAUCAUGCAUGUCUGAAGAAAUGCUGAAGAUACAUGAGGCCAUAGGACAGGUAAGUAGUAACUAGCUCUGGACAGCCUUUGGUUUGAAUAAUCCUACCGAAGUACUACCUUAGGGAGC